GACGAACGCUGGCGGCGUGGAUUAGGCAUGCAAGUCGAACGGUAUCAUCCUUUCGGGGGUGAGAGAGUGGCGAACUGGUGAGUAACACGUAGGUUAUCUACCCUCAAGACGGGGACAACCCAGGGAAACUUGGGCUAAUACCGGAUGUGAGCAACUUUUAGUUGUUUGAAAGGUGGCGUAAGCUGUCGCUUGGGGAUGAGCCUGCGUCCUAUUAGUUAGUUGGUGAGGUAACGGCUCACCUAGGCAAUGAUAGGUAGGCGGCCUUAACGGGUGGUCGCCCACACUGGGAUUGAGAUACGGCCCAGACUCCUACGGGAGGCAGCAGUCGAGAAUAGUCUACAAUGGUCGGAAGACUGAUAGUGCGACGCCGCGUGAACGAUGAAUCCCUUCGGGGUGUAAAGUUCUUUUAUAUGUGAGCAGUGCUUCUUAUAUUAACAGUAUGGGGAGAGAGAUAUUAGCAUAUGAAUAAGCAACGGCUAACUCCGUGCCAGCAGCCGCGGUAAACUA
rnacentral:rRNA from 1 species